rnacentral:lncRNA from 1 species
UAACAUAGCAAGGGAUUUCAAUGCCAUCUUUUGAGUAUUGAAUGAAGGGUGAAUUUGAGACCACUUACAACUCCAUCAUCAAUUUUAAAGAACAGUGACUCUUCAUUGGCCAGUGGAAGAAAUUAACCCACAAUGAUGUUGAUGCUAUUUCUAAGAGUCUCAUAUCCAAUGGAUCUUGAGAAUUUUGAAGUGGCACGCCUUCACCUUGACCUUACCUACCUUUUGACUUCAACUACUACAUCAAAAUUGGGAUCUGCAAAACAGAUUCCUGCUUUAUCCCAGAGAAUCUCUGUUGUUGGCUGUGAUGCUGUUUGCAGAAUAAUCCAUCUCAAAGUUAAGGAAACAAAUGUUUCAUUACUUUUUUCAGAAGUGAUCAUAAAUUAACCAGUUUUGGAUUUCUGUUUUAGCUCAGCUCUCUGGUAUCAGAAUGGACCUUUUAUAAGUCUGUGGACAUUGUCAAGCUUUCUACUACUUUUCAGUGAAUUAAAUACCUGCAGACUUUUCUUUGC